CCUUCUUUCAAAACAAAAUUUGCCCAAACUUGGCCCGGCCCCGGCCCCCCCAAAAAAAACCAAGGCCCCAACCAAAAUAAACCGGGACCCUGGGGGCCCCCAACCCCAUACGAUCUCCCCCUCAUAUCGGGGGGAAACCCCCUCAAAUUUUACGCAUAUCUAUACGAGGGGAAAAAAAACCCAACGGGCU
rnacentral:misc_RNA from 1 species